AGAGUUUGAUCAUGGCUCAGAACGAACGCUGGCGGCGUGGAUAAGACAUGCAAGUCGAGCGGGAUUUUCCUUGGUAGCAAUACCGAGGAAAAUUCAGCGGCGAACGGGUGCGUAACACGUGGGCAAUCUGUCCUAAAGUGUAGGAUAGCUCGGCGAAAGCCGAAUUAAUACCGCAUGUGGCUACUGGAGACAUCUUCGGGACGCUAAAGGUGGCGCAAGCUACCGCUUUUUGAGGAGCCCGCGGCCUAUCAGCUUGUUGGUGAGGUAACGGCUCACCAAGGCGUUGACGGGUAGCUGGUCUGAGAGGACGACCAGCCACACUGGGACUGGGACACGGCCCAGACACCUACGGGUGGCAGCAGUCGAGAAUUUUUGACAAUGGGGGAAACCCUGAUCGAGCGACGCCGCGUGGAGGAUGAAGGUCUUCGGGUUGUAAACUCCUGUCAUUUGAGAACAAGGCGCGGCUAUUAACUGUAGUCGCGUUGAUAGUAUCAGAAGAGGAAGAGACGGCUAACUCUGUGCCAGCAGCCGCGGUAAUACAGAGGUCUCAAGCGUUGUUCGGAUUCAUUGGGCGUAAAGGGUGUGUAGGUGGCGCGCUAAGUCGGGUGUGAAAUUUCGGAGCUUAACUCCGAAACUGCAUUCGAUACUGGCGUGCUUGAGGACUGGAGAGGAGACUGGAAUUUUACGGUGUAGCAGUGAAAUGCGUAGAUAUCGUAAGGAAGACCAGUGGCGAAGGCGGGUCUCUGGACAGUUCCUGACACUGAGACACGAAGGCCAGGGGAGCAAACGGGAUUAGAUACCCUAGUAGUCC
rnacentral:rRNA from 1 species